GAAGUACUCCCUUCAUUCAGAAUUAUUUGUCACAAAAACGGAUGUAUCUACAACUAAAAUACAUCUAGAUACAUUCAUUUUUUGACGAGUAAUUCUGAACGGAGGGAGUAGUAG
rfam:Triticum aestivum genome assembly, contig: Triticum_aestivum_CS42_TGACv1_scaffold_250053_3DL